ACCUUGAAGUAAAGUAGCAGCACAUAAUGGUUUGUGGGUUACACAGAGGUGCAGGCCAUACUGUGCUGCCGCCAAAACACAAGGC
rnacentral:pre_miRNA from 1 species